rnacentral:lncRNA from 1 species
UUGGGAAGACUCUCGAUGGAUGUGUCGUUCAGAAGCAGGACUCUCAGGUUCCUUAGCUUUUUAAACAGAUCAUCUCCAAUUGUACGGGCACGAGGGCUAUCAAAGAUGAGCAAAGAUCUUAAACACUUCUCUUCAACGAUUCUGUCGGGGAGCUGUAUCCUCUCCCCUAUGUUUGAUGUUGACAAUCGACGAAGCUUAGUUAAUGGGUCCGAAUUCAAUGAUUGGAGAUCACUGACAUAGACACCCUCGCCUUGGAUCAAGGACUGAGCAAGCGAUCUCAAAAGAUCAUGCAUGGUGCAUCUGCUGCCGUCUACAAAGGUAGGAUCCACCUGCAGUAGGUUUCGCCAGAUCAUGUCCUCGUAAUAACCCUCGGCAAUCUCUUCCAUCGAUAGUUCUCCGUUCUCCUCUGUGAAACCUUCAGCCACCCAAAGCCGGAUAAGAUCCUUACGGUACAUAUCAGCCUUGUCGGGAAACAAAGAGCAAUGCAGAAAGCACUGCUUAAGAUGAGAAGGUAAAUCUUCAUAACUCAAGAACAAAACCCCCAGUACAUUCUCGUCGAGCUUCUUCAUCUUCCAUAGAUCACUUCUGAGAACCUUUUCCCACUCCAUCGUACUUCUCCUGGAUCUUAAAGCCCCCGCAAGAACCUUUAUUGCGAGAGGAAGUCCAUCACAUUUUUGAACCAUUUUAGUUCCAAUCUCCUUGAAUCUAGAAAUAUCGCCCUUCUCUCUAUUAUCCCAAACCGUCUUCCACAGCAAUUCCCAGCCACACUCUUCAUCCAUUUUCUCAACAUGAUGAACAUUGUCUCCCAAAUUUCUUGCCACGUUUUCGUCUCUAGUUGUAAUUACGAUCCUACAAUUACUGGCUGCCUCAUGCAUCAAAGGGUUCUUGAGAAAAUCUUCCCAUACCUCUGGACUCCAUACAUCGUCUAAUACCAGAAGCAAAUUUUUCGAUAGGAGGGAAACAAGUUUACGUUCAAGUUCCGCUCUACUCUUAGCUCCUUCAACAUUUCCUCCUACGCUUCUAAUCAUUUCUUUGAGCAAAUCAGUCUCUGAAUAUUUCUUCGUUACACACAACCACACUCGAAUCGGAUAGUUUUGUAUGAUCCUUUCAUCAUUAAAUACUUUACGCGCUAGAGUGGUCUUCCCAAUCCCACCCAUCCCGACAAUCCCAAAAACAACACACUUUGGCUUCUCACUGAUCUCCACUAUGGAGUUGAUCAGAUUUUGGGCAGCGCCUUCGAUUUGGGUUCCAAUGAUGUCUGCCUUAACCUCUAUGGAAGGUGUCCCAGGAGAUCUUUCCGGUCGAUGUGGGGGGUCUAUUUUGACGUUCUCUACAUCAGGUAUUGUAGAUCUAUCUUCCGUUAUCUCUUUCAGUCUAUCAUUAAGUCUUUUUAUUCUACCACUGAUUUCAUAGCGGUGUUUGAUAGAUCCAAAGUAAGACGAACUUUGCGAGCUGGAAGGAUUGCAUACCGCAAAAGUCGUCGAUGCCCGACUCUUCAGCAAGCUGCCACCUUCGAUGAUGCAAAGAUCGAUGAUAUCAUCCGCGUCGUACAUGACAUCCUUCAACUCCCUCACCCUGGUGUCCGUUGCCGGAUCUACAUGCCUCCUUUGCUCUGCAGUGAGAAGAAAGCCUUUGAUCCUCGCCAACCUUCUCUCCAGAGUUUCGACCUCCUCCCUCACGCAUAGCACUUUGCAUAUCUCUCCCGCCGCGAAGUUGGUUAUCUUUAGGAGGAACCUUUCUACGAAAAACUCUAACACCAUUGCCAUCUCGUAACACAGCUCAAGAAGAUCUAAGUGAGUGUCUCCAAAGUGAAGAUCUGAUUUCUGAUUUAUAGAGAUAAGAUCUACGUUGAGCAUAAAUGGGUUCCGGAAUCAGGCCCCAUUUCCAUAAGAGAGGAGUCGUCUUCCACAGCUGCUUCUACACUGUACAUGUCAUGAAAUAAAUAAUCUGCCUUAUCUUUUUAUAACCUCGUGCUCUUUGUUUAUUACGGGAUAAAAUAAAUAAUCUGCAUGUGAUUUGUGUGGCAAUAUUGUAUACAUAGAAAGUCAAAUUCAAAGCUCACAAUUCCUGAAAGAUGGUGAAACAAUGAUAAUUGUAAAACUCGAAGUCAAAAAAUAAAUAGAUAUAAUUGUUGAUUAUAUUCGACAAUACAAAACAGUAUCCUUAUUCAAGUAUAGAUUUGAGAAAAAUACAUAACCAUUUAAAAGAAUAGAUAACGUAAAUCUAAUACAUGGGAAGUAGCAAAUAUCAAUCGAAUGAACGAGCAAUUGCAAGUCGUGUGGAGGUAAUGAGGAUGAUAGUAUGGUUAAUAAAGCUUUCACCAUCUUCCCUGACGUUUGUUCAUCUAAUAUAAAUAUUAAUGCUUCCUUCCCACCAGUACCGGCAUUGAAUUCCUGAACCAGAUCUUAGCCUGUUCUUCCUCCCGAUUCCAACGGCAGGCAUGGAAAGCUAUCGUCUAGAUGCUAUUUCUUUAUGACUCCGUCCUCUGGAUUCCAUAUGACAACUCCCUUCACCCUGCAUGUGAUGAAAUAAAUAGUCUGCAUGCUGCAUGCGGUGGUUUGUCGCAACAUGUUUUUGGAAACUCAUCACCAUUUUCUCACUGCAGUUCAAGAAUGACUAAUUGAUGGUCUCUAGGAUGAUGCAGUUCGUGUUAUCCUUGAUUUGUUGUGAUUCGCUCAUCAUUGAUGAAUUGCCAGCCCCCUACGCUACCAAAGAAAAUUCGGAGAUGUUGAUGCCCAACUCCCACCGAUACCAGCUUUGAAUUCCCAGACAAGGCACCUUCUUCCCAUCCACUUGUGUCGAUUCCGAGGUCAUCAAGCUGGUGUCAAAUGUGAUGCCCUCUAACUUGGGUGUUGGAGGGGGGUUUAGGUCGACCCUCGGCAUUCUUCUUUGUUUAUCUUGUUGGCUAAUCUUUGCUUGCUGCAUUCAUUUACAGUUACAUGUUACUUUUUGGGCAAAACUGGCAUUAGCCUCCAUGGAAUGUCAUAUAAAUGUGUUGUAAUUAAAAAAAUAGUAAUCACGUAUGAGUCACUAUCAUUUUUUGUAUUCUGUUUCAUCUUGGCUAACUCAAAAUUUUGGUUAUCCGAUACAAAUGCUGAUUACGAGUCAAUCGACAUUCAUCUUUUACAUAUGUCAUAGUUUAAUCUUGACGAACACCAUACUUGUGUGACUUUAGAGAUCUUAAAUUUUAUAAAAUUGCAUUUGAGAUAUUCUCAACAAAUGCUUGAGUUCAGAGAUGUUGAAGCCUACAGAUCUACCGUUCCUAAUAAAUGUUUCCCUGAUAUUUAAAUUAGUUUUAGGCUCAGAAGAUUCGAUCAAUAUUUAGAACAAUAUUAGAAAAAAAUAUUCGGGAACGUACUUAGGAGAGCUCUUUUGUAAGGGCCUUCAUAGCCAUUACUUUUAUAAUUGACAUCAAUUACGAAGAACGAUUGCACGUUUGUUCCAUGCUUAAUCAUAAUUAUCUUACAUUGAUAUUAAGGUGAUCAUGUGACACUAAGAUAUUAGUCAACAUAGCACUGAGGUAUCAGUCAUGUCACACUAAGGUGUUGGUCAUAUAAUACUAUGGUACCGACCACUUGAUACUAAGAUAUUAUUCAUAUAUAUUUGAUGUGUCAUAUGACACAGUAAAGAAAACUUAGAAUGUGUCAACCAAUCCCAAAACAAGACAACACCUUGAUCCGUUAUUCAGUCAUGCCCCAAGACUAGUUGAAUUAUACAUUUACAUGGUAAUUGAGUUUGUUCAAGCUCAUAAUUUCAGUCAUGCAUGAAAUUUUCCUUCUUUUGGAAACAGUUCACUAUUCAAUUUCAUGCACUUGAUAAAUUUGUUGUCUCUCUUCUCUCGUUUUCUAUAUGAGUGGAAUAGACAAUGCUUUUAGGUUCUGCAGAUUAAAGGCUUGGAUGCUUGUUACAGUAAACAAGAAGUUACACUUCGCAUAGCUUGGAACAUGAAGGUUAUAAUUUCUGUGAUAAUGGUCAGAUACAGUCAAUUCAUUUUGUUCUGGUUGAGACUCCAAGCAAUGAUGAUGGGUUAUCCAGUUCUCCUUUUUCUAAUUUGACUGCAUAUGUUUUUGAUAAAUGGAUGGAUAGGCUAGUCUUUACAUUGUUUUCCAUGUUGUCUCUGUAAAUUCAAUCGACUCCCUUCAGCAAAGUCUGUAGUCGAUAUUUUCUCUAUUUAGUAUCGCACUUUCUAGUAUUUCUUGUGUCCUCUGGGAGGCUUACUGUCAAGAUUGAUGUAUUAUUAUGAGUUACUUAUGGUUUAACCUCUUGUCCAUCUAAAUAAUCUGUUCCUGGACAUGGCAAAGGCUCUUCAAGGAGGAAAGGUUAAUUAAUUACAUGACGAAGUUGAGUUUUUACUGCAUAGCUAACGGUUGCAGGGGGCAAUAGCAAGUUGCAAGUAAAGAAGUAUUCCGCUUGAAAGUGUUGCAUGAACAUGAAACCAAGACUUACUGCAGUAUGAUGAUAUUUGGUGAAUAGUUUGGAAGGUAGUGAUAUAUGUAUCUUACUGUUGAACCAAAUUUAUGAACUUUUACUAUGUUAGAUGGUCUAUAUGACCAAGUGGGGUCAUGGAGUAGCAGUAGAAGGAUUGAAUGAAGCAUGGGUCAUCAAGCAUGUGAUUAUUGAAUCUCUACAUAAAUCACUUGAGAUUCAUAUGAGGACAAUAUCACAUACCUUUUAUUGCUCUUAAGAUUGAGAAGAAAAAACAACUUCCCCUUUUAUCGGGUUGUUUCUAAAAUAAGUUACAAUUUUCUUCCCAGUUGAUCUUACAAAGUAUCAAAAAAUUACAAAAUAUAGACUUCACAGGACUCAUGUGUAGCACCUGAGACUCUAAUCUGUGCCCUGUCUGUCUCUUCCAUUACAAAUCAUUGUGUUUGUGAUACUUCUGACAGGAAGAUGUGUGAAUUGACUGUAUGCAUGAACUUCAUUUGUUGUCAGAAUUUCUUGGUUUUUAUAACAACAUGCACUUUUGUUGCUUUACUAGAAAAUAGAAACUGCUAUAUUUAUUUCUGAAAAAGAGAUCUUCCAAAUGGAUUUUGGUUCUUGGAAAAUCUCCACUAAGGAAUGAUGAUUGGAGUCUUUCGCACUUAAUGCAUAACAUGGUGGAUAUUCUGCUAUUAAUCCUUGUUCUUCAUGUUUGUUGUGCGAUCUUCCACUUCAUCAAGGUGACUCGUGUCAAUUUAAGUCAUGAUAAACAUGCUUGAUUUCUUUCAGAAACAUAGGUCCUCACUUAGUGUUUCCUAUGAUUCUAUAUUAAAUGGACGGCAAUUAUGCAAUCAUUUUAGCCAAUAUGAAUUUCCCAGUUAGUGGAGUUAUGUCUAUGAUCUGAACAGAAUUUUCUAUCUGUCUUCAUAUUUAUAAUCAUUUAUAUGCUCAUGUUGAUCACACCUGCUAGUUCAUAUCUAAUUUGACAUUUAUUGUCUGCUAUGUUUAGGUACUCCCUUUCAGCUUCUGUGCCAUAUAUGAUUCUGCGACCAAGUAGCUUUGUUAAAGCACGCAUAGCUUAGGUGAGUUCAAAGUGAAAUUAAACUAUUAGCUGCACUCAUUUACAGUUACGUGGAGGUUCUUCGAGCAAGACUAGCAUAAAGCCUCUUUGGACUGUCAAAUAAAUGUGUUAUGAUCAGACAUCGGCGAUCACCCAUGAGUUGUACCAAUUUUCACACUGUGCUUGAUACUAUUUCUGGAGUGAAGAAAUUAAAUUAUGUUCCUGGAACAGCGAGUGAUAUGACUGGAAUAUUUUCUUUUGUAAAUUCCAUCGCUUACGGCUUGGUUUAUUUAUUGUCCAAAUGUAUUUUGGCAGAGCAAUGUUGAGAAUCAUUAUGUUCUUUUGUUCUGCAUUUUCUUUUUCUCUUCCAUCCUUGUUUUGUGUUUGUGAAAGUUACUGAGCUUCAUGAAGUGUAGAGACUUUUCAAGAAACGAAUGAAGAUAUCGCUCACAAGUUUUACUGGAGAUGUUUCUUGGCAUCGGCCAUGUUGGAUUGCCAGUUCUAUGUUGUAGCCUUUGUUUCAACUCUGUUUUGGGUUUUGCCCCUGCAAUUGAAGACAAGUGGAGGACCCAUCCGAUGCAUGCAGUUGCGAUGAAGAUUUUGAUGACCUAGUUUUUAUUUGUCAAUAUAUGCAGUAGAUUACAUGCUUUCGGAUACAAGAUCUUCGAUCAAAUUAUAGUCAUAAAGCAAUGCACGAUGUAAGCAACAGCAUUUGCAAAUCUAGACAUCAAGCAACAGCAUGCUUGUGGAAGCAAGAUCAAGAUGAAAGCUUCGCUUAGCAUAAAGCAACACAAAGAGAUGUGUUCGUAGACAAUAGUUUUUCUUUGUUCUUACACUGAAAGCAAAUAGAAAUUAUGGUCCAAACAUACAUUCAAAUCGAAGGAAAAAAGGGAAAGAAAAAACACAACGCUUUCAAUCUGCCAAAUUGCUUCAAUCACAAAUAGAAAGGGAAGUGAAUGCCAAGCACAAAAGACUUCGAUCGAUCCUGCAAAAAACAAGUUCAUACAUAUAUAUAAAUGAAGCAAAGAGAAACAUGCCGUACCAACAGAGGAAAUUAAGAGGAACACAGAGCUUACACAGAUGGUGACCACUCCACUCGUGCUGAGCCUUGAUACACCGAUCACAAAGACUUCCGAGUAAUCCUGGAAGAAAGAAGAAGUUAGGGUACGUGUGAACCAAAAAAGCACGCAAGUAAACUGGAAUGAGAAGAAGAACACGACUUACAGAUACGACGAGCCCACUCAUGCUGAACCUACGUUGGUGUCGUACAUGUAUGGAUCCUUGUUAUACCAAAUGAACUCGUUGGCAUCGGUGGCCCGGAUCCUGACCUCCGGUAUCUGGCGGAUGAUCUGCCAGUUGACCUCGCCCACGAGACACCUCUUCAACAAUGGCAAGCUGCACUGCAGCUCAAGCUUUCUGAAACUUUGCUGCUGCUCCACGAGAUCCGACAGCCAUGGCGGCAGGGACUGCGCUGGUGGUGGACAAGACAGAUGCAGGUGUUGCAAGCCAGCCAGAUCUCCCACGUACUCCAAGUUGGGGCAGUCAUCCACUUGCAGAUACUUCAAUGAAGGAAGGUUUGAUAUACGCCGCAAGCUGUUGUUAUGCUUCACAGUGAGGUUGUCAGUCAGGAAGUCGAGGUUCUUGAUUUCUCCAAAGCUAUGAGUGCCCUCCAUAUGGAGUAACUUCAAGUUGGUCGGGCAAAGGCCUUCCGGAAGAGCUUUCAGCUUGGGACAGUCGACGAGCCAGAGCUCCUUUAGAUUAGGAAGCAGCUUACGGCUGUUGCUGUUGCCGCUGCUGCUUCCGGUAUCACCUGUCGGGGGUUCCAGGAGAUCUGGACGACGUGGUGGGCGGUCAUUGGUGGGCUGAGUGUCUCGGCUUCUGACCAGAUCUAUCUCAGUUCGUGGCGGCAUCAGACCUGCAAAUAGGUGCAGCUCAUCUUCAUUGAUUGCCAGAGACUGGAAUUGCACUCUAUUGAUUUCAUAUGUCGUCCAAAUUUCCCAAUUGGGCAUGUUCGAGAAUCGCAUCACCUCAAGCAUGGGAAACGCAGGAGAUCCCCUUAAAUUUCUGUCACCUGUGAAGUCGGCGCCAAUGCUUGUGAUUUCAUUUGCCCCUCUAAUGGAUAGUACUUUUAGCUCCGGAAGCAGGCCCAGUGGAGGAAGCUCCCAGCACGAUGGAAGAUCAUGCAGGCUCAAGUAUAACAGACAGGGGAAAGCAGUGUCCAGAGAAGUUGACCGGAACCAUCCCGGAAAACGGAGACCAGAAUAGCAUUUGAUAAAAAGAUACUGCAGGCUUGAUGGGGGACAGAGUUGACUGCAAAUUUCCUCAGCAGUAAAAGGAUCCGUCAGGCUUGAUGAACCAGAAUAUUUUUCUCGAUCUGUACUCUCCCAGAAAAGAUAUAGUUGUCUAAGAAAAGGUUUGUCCUCCAGCACCGAACCUGCAUUUGUUAUUGCCCUAUCCAACCUGUAUAUGCUCAGAGACCUCAACUUGGACAAAGGUUGUAGCUCCUUCAAGUCACCAUCAUCGCCGACGAUGAACGCGUCAAGCUCGCUGAGAUUUGUGAGUGACCCCAUUCCCUUUGGCAACGAUGUUAAUGGAGUGUCCUGCAGUCGAAGACAUUGUAGAUUGUACAGCUUCGUGAUGGUCUUCGGAAGUUUACUAAUGGAUUUGCAGCCCGAGACGCUCAAAGUUUGCAGAUUCCGAAGGCCCCCCACAGACUCGGGGAUCUCCCGUAUCUUUGUUCGAUCAAGAUCCAAGUGCCUAAGAUGUGAUAGUUUUCCGAUGGACUUGGGAAGACUCUCGAUGGAUGUGUCGUUCAGAAGCAGGACUCUCAGGUUCCUUAGCUUUUUAAACAGAUCAUCUCCAAUUGUAUGGGCACGAGGGCUAUCAAAGAUGAGCAAAGAUCUUAAACAGUUCUCUUCGAUGAUUCUACUGGGGAGCUCUACUCUCUCCCCUAUGUUUGAGGUUGACAAUCGACGAAGCUUAGUUAAUGGGUUCGUCGUAUUCACUGAUAGGAGAUCACUGGCAUAGACGCCCUCUCCUUGGAUCAAGAACUGGGCAAGAGAUCUCAAAAGAUCAUGCAUGGUGCAUCUGCUGCCGUCUACAAAGGUAGGAUCCACCUGCAGUAGGUUUCGCCAGAUCAAGUCUUCGUAAUAACCCUCGGCUAUCUCUUCCAUCGAUAGUUCUCCGUUCUCCUUUGUGAAACCUUCGGCCACCCAAUGCCGGGUAAGAUCCUUACGGUACAUAUGAGCUUUCUUGGGAAACAAAGAGCAAUACAGAAAACACUGCUUAAGAUGAGAAGGCAAAUCUUCAUAACUCAAGUACAAAACCCCCGGUAUUUUCUCAUCGAGCUUCUUCAUCGUCCAUAGAUCACUUCUGAGAACCUUUUCCCACUCCAUCGGACUUCUCCUGGAUCUUAAAGCCCCCGCAAGAACCUUUAUUGCGAGAGGAAGUCCAUCACAUUUUUGAACCAUUUUAGUUCCAAUUUCUUUGAAGAUAGAACUAUCGCCCUUCUUUCUAUUAUCCCAAACCGUCUUCCACAGCAAUUCCCAGCCACACUCUUCAUCCAUUUUCUCAACAUGAUGAACAUUGUCUCCCAAAUUUCUUGCCACGUUUACGUCUCUAGUGGUGACUACGAUCCUACAAUUACUGGCUGCCUCAUGCAUCAAAGGGUUCUUGAGUAAAUCUUCCCAUACCUCUGGACUCCAUACAUCGUCUAAUACCAGAAGCAAAUUUUUCGAUAGGAGGGAAACAAGUUUAGGUUCAAGCUCCGCUCUACUCUCAGCUCCUUCAACACUUCCUCCGACGCUUCUAAUCAUUUCUUUGAGCAAAUCAGUCUCUGAAUAGUUCUUCGUUACACACAACCACACUCGAAUCGGAUAGUUCUGUAUGAUCCUUUCAUCAUUGAAUACUUUACGCGCUAGAGUGGUCUUCCCAAUCCCACCCAUCCCGACAAUCCCAAAAACAACACACUUUCGAUUCUCACUGACCUCUAGUACUUUGUUGAUCAGAUUUUGGGCAGCGCCUUCGAUUUGGGUUCCUAUGAUGUCUGCCUUAACCUCUAUGGAAGAUGUCUUAGGAUAACUUGCUGGGGGAGGUGGGAGGCCUUUUUCGACGUUCUCUACAACAGGUAUUAUAGAUCUAUCUCCCGUGAUCUCAAUCAGUCUAUCAUUAAGUCUUUUUAUUCUACCACUGAUUUCAUAGCGGUGUUUGAUAGGUCUAAAGAAAGGAGGAUUGGUUACCUUCAGCAAGCUGCCACCUUCGAAGAUGCAAAGAUCGAUGAUAUCGUCAGCGUCGUACAUGACAUCCUUCAACUCCCUCACCCAGGUGUCCAUGUCCGGAUCUACAUGCCUUCUUUGCUCUGCAGUGCGAAGAAAGCCUUUGAUCCUCGUCAACCUUCUCUCCAGAGUUUUGACCUCCGCCCCCACGUAUAGCACUUUGCAUAUCUCUCCCUCCGCGAAGUUGGUUAUCUUUUCGAGGAACCUUUCUACGAAAAACUCUAACACCAUUGCCAUCUCGUAACACAGCUCAAGAAGAUCUAAGGCAGUGUCUCCAAAGUGAAGAUCUGAUUCCUCAUUUAUAGAGAUAAGAUCAGAAUCAGGGCCCCAUUUCCGUAAGAGAAGUCUUCCACAGCAUGCAUGCACCUAUUGGUCCAAUUUCCUACUUCUUUGACACUGUUAUGAAAUAAAUAGUCUGCCUUAUUUUCUUAUGACUUGUUGCUGUUUGUUUAUUAUGUGAUGAAAUAAAGCAACAAUAUAUAUAUAUAUAUAUAUAUUAUGCUAAGAAAAACUUACGUGACAAACAUUGUAGAGUGGAAAGAGCAACAAAGAAUAUAGAAUGGAGACAAACAUAUUCUUAUUCAAGUGUAUAUUUGAGAAAAAUACAUAAACAUUUAAAAGAAUAUAGAAUGGAGCAACUUUUAAAACAAACUAGUCACGAAUGUAUAUUACAAAUAAUAGAUAAUGUAAAACUAAUACAUGCAAAGUACCAAAUAUCAAUCUAAUGAACAUGCAAUCGCAAGUUCUGUGGAAGUAACGAGAAUAGUGUUGUUAAAGCUUUCACCACUUACAGAAAGUUUGAUUGUGCCGUCCCACAAGCCGGGGCAAAAACCUUGCCUGCCCUUAUCCCCAGGAGAGAGUACUAUUUCCAAGGUAUAAUAAGAUUUUAGCUGAGGUAAAUCUAUUAGGACUAGAAUUGACAACCUAUUACUCAUGAAUAGAGUAGUAAUUAGACUAGUGAUGAUAACAUUAUUGUGGCUAGCGAGGUCAAGGAACUCACUGGUUCAUCUAAUAUAUUAUAAAUAUAAGUAAGUUGGUCAUGAAAUGUUCCGUAGUUUCUAUGACAUGGUCAUCUUUGUUUAAUUCUCACCAUCUACUCUAUCAAUGAAAAGCCGCAUUGAAUUCCUAUACCAGAUCUCAUCCUGUUAUUCCUCUCGAUUCCAAUGGCAGGCAUGGUAAGCUAUCAUCUAAAUGCUCUUUCCUUAUGACUUGGUCCUCGCCAUUCCAUAUGCCAGCACCUUUCACACUGUAUAUGUGAUGAAAUAAAUAGUCUGCAUGCUGUCAAAACAUGUGUUUGGAAACUCAUCACCAUUUCUCUCUACAGCUCAAGAAUAACUAGUUGAUUGGUUGUGACUUGGUCGUCGUUGUUUAAUUGCCCAGCCCUUACUCUUCUAUCAAAGAUAAGUCGGAGAUGUUAAUGCUCGACUCCCACCGAUUCAAAGUCAAGCCUCACCCUUGAUUUUGAUGUAUGUAAAUUUUCCCAGUAAAGUUUCAAAUACGAGACUGCUCUUUCCAGAACCAAGGCAGCUUCUUCCCAUCUUCUUGUGUCAAUUCCGAGCUCAUAAAGCUGGUGUCAAUUGUGAUGCCCCCUACCAAAGAAAAGUUGGAGACGUUAAUGCCCAACUCCCACCGAUUCAGAGUCGAGCCUCACCCUUGAUUUUGAUGUAUGUGAAUUUUCCGAAGAAAGUUCCAAAUACGAGACUGCUCUUUCCAAAACCAAGCACCUUCUUUCCAUCCUCUUGUGUCAAUUCCGAGCUCAUCAAGCUGGUGUCAAAUGUGAUGCCCUCUAACUUAGGGUGUUGGAGUGGGGGUUUUUGGUCGACUCUCGGCACCCUUUUUUGUUUAUUUUGCUGGCAAGUCUUUGCUUGUUGCAUUCAUUUAUAGUUACAUGUAAGUUCUUUGGGCAAAACUGGCAUUAGCCUCUAUGGAAUGUCAAAUAAAUGUGCUACAAUAAAAAAUUAGCAAUCACGGAUGAGUUCUACCAUUUUUUCUUUCUGUUUCAUCCUGUUUAACUCAAGAUUUGAUUGUUUGAAACGAAUAUAAAUUACAAGUCAAUAGAGGUUCAUCUUUUUGCAUUUGUCAUAGUUUAACCUUGAUCGAUAUCAUACUCAUUCGACUCUAGAGAUAUUAAAUCCCAUAGGAUUGCGUUAGAACGGUUCCCCUCCGAUGUUUAAAUUAAUUUUGAAUUCCUACACCAGAUCUUAGCCUGUUCUUCCUCUCGAUUCCAACGGCAGGCAUGGUAGGCUCUCAUCUAAAUGCUAUUUCUUUAUGACUCCGUCCUCUGGAUUCCAUAUGACAGCUCCCUUCACCCUGCAUAUGUGAUGAAAUAAAUAGUCUGCAUGCUGCACGCGGUGGUUUGUCGCAACAUGUUUUUGGAAACUCAUCACCAUUUCUCACUGCAGCUCAAGAAUGACUAAUUGAUGGUCUCUAGGAUGAUGCAGUUUGUGUUAUCCUUGAUUUGUUGUGACUCGCUCAUCAUUGAUAAAUUGCCAGCCCCCUGCGCUACCAAAGAAAAGUCGGAGAUGUUGAUGCCCAACUCCCACCGACACCAGCUUUGGAUUCCCAGACAAGGCACCUUCUUCCCUGUGUCGAUUCCGAGCUCAUCAAGCUCGUGUCAAAUGUGAUGUCCUCUACCAAAGAAAAGUCGGAGAUGUUGAUGGCCAACUCCCACCGACACCAGCUUUGGAUUCCCAGACAAGGCACCUUCUUCCCAUCCACUUGUGUCGAUUCCGAGCUCAUCAAGCUCGUGUCAAAUGUGAUGCCCUCUAACUUGGGUGUUGGACGGGGGUUUAGGUCGACCCUCGACAUUCUUCUUUGUUUAGCUUGUUGGUUAAUCUUUGCUUGCUGCAUUCAUUUACAGUUACAUGUUACUUUUUGGGCAAAACUGGCAUUAGCCUUUGUGGAAUGUCAUAUAAAUGUGUUAAAUUAACAAUCACGUAUGAGUUACUACUAUUUUUUGCAUUCUUAUUCAUCCUGCUUAACUCAAAAUUUGAUUAUUCGAUACAAAUGUUGAUUAUGAGUCAAUCAACGUUUAUCUUUUGCAUCUAUCAUAGUUUAAUCUUGACGGACACCACAUUCCACAAUUAGUUUAGAUUUAGUAGAUUAUAUCAGUGUUUUAAACAAUAUUAGGAAAAAUAUUUGGAACAUAUUUUAGAGAGCUCAUUUAUAAUGGGCUCUCGUAGCCAUUACUUCUAUAAUUGACACCUAUUAUGAAAAACGAUUGCACGUUUGUCCUAGGCUUAAUCACAAUUAUGUUGCAUUGAUAUUAAGGUGACACCACAUGGCAUUAAGGUAUUGGUCAACAUGACACUAAGGCGGUGGCCAUAUAAGACUAUGGUAUUGAUCACUUGAUGCUAAGGUAUUAUUUAUAUGUUUUUGAUGUGUCAACUAUAUGACACAAUAAAGAAGACUUAGAAUGUAUCAACUAAUUCGAAAAGAAGACAACACCUUGAUUCAUUAUUUAAUCAUGCCACAAGACUACUUGAAUUAUAUAUUUACAUAAUAAUUGAGUUUGUUCGAUCUACAAGGUAUAUUUCUUAAAUAUUGUAAACAUUGCUUAGUUAUAAAAACAUAUAGAGUUGCCUUUCAUACUUAUUCAACAUCUAGAAGAUCAAAUAUUAUUGAUAUGAUUCACACUGAUGUCUGUACUAUACAAAACUGAUGUCUGUACUAUGCAAACUAGAAUUCUUAGAUGUACCCUUUAUUUUGUUACUUUCAUUGAUGAAAAGUUUGGGUAUUUGCUUUAAAAUCUAAAGACUAGGUACUCGAUGUUUUCAAAGAAUUUCAUGUCAUUAUUAAAAGAGAAAAUAGUAGAAAACUAAAGUGUGUUCAAGUAGAUAAUGGUGACGAGUACAGGGGUUCUUUUGAGAAUUAUUAUAGGUUCCAUAGUAUCAGGCUUGAUAAAACAGUUUCUAAAACUUCUCAGCAAAACAGUAUGAAAGAAAGGAUAAACAAAACUAUUGAAGAAAGAAUUAGGUGUAUGUUUUGCCAUGCUAAGUUAUCUAAGUCAUUUUGGGGGGAGGCUAUAAGAACUAUGAUUGAUAUAAUAAAUCUUUCUUCAUCAGUUUCUCCGAAAGGUGAUGUUCCAGAGAAAGUAUGGAAAGGAAAAUAUAUAUCUUAUAAUCACUUGAGAGUUUUUGGGUGUUAAGCAUUUGGUUAUAUUCCCAAAGAUGAGAGGUCCAAGCUUGAUAAUAAGGUAAAAGUAUGAAUCGAUAUAGUCACGAAGAGUUUGGGUACAGAUUAUGAGAUCCAGUGAACAAGAAGAUUAUUAGAAGCAUAGAUAUUAUGUUUCUUGAAAAUCAAUUAUUUGAUAAUGGUGAUAAUGUUGGGAAGCUCAAAACCUCUAUUUAUAUUCUUUAGAGUUUGGGUUCAAUUCGUUUACUUAUAGUUCAUGAUAAUCAUAUGGGAGAUGAACAAGAUAAUCGUGUUGAGAAUGCUAGUAAUGAUGCUCCUAUAGUUGAUGAUAUUAAACUAACUAAAAAAUAUCUCUAACUAAGAAACAUCUCUACCACUAGUUGAGAUUCUAUUGAGAAGAAACAAAUCUUCGACUCCAUACUUCGUCCAAACACCAUAAACAAAUUUCUCAACAAGUGAGAAACAAGUCUAGGUUCAAGUUCCGCCCUCCUCUCAGCUCCUUCAACCCUUCCUCCUACGCUUCUAAUCAUUUCUUUGAGCAAAUCAGUCUCUGAAUAGUUCUUCGUGACGCACAACCAUGCUCGAAUCGGAUAGUUUUGUAUGAUCCUUUCAUCAUUGAAUACUUUACGCGCUAGAGUGGUCUUCCCAAUCCCACCCAUCCCGACAAUCCCAAAAACAACACACGUUGGAUUCUCACUGAUCUCUAUUAUGGAUUUGAUCAGAUUUUGGGCAGGGCCUAUGAUUUGGGUUCCUAUGAUAUCUGCCUUAACCUCUAUGGAAGAUGUCUCACGAGAUCUUACCGGGUGAAUUGGGAUGUCUUUUUCAGCGAUCUCUACAUCAGGUAUUAUAGAUCUAUCUUCCGUGAGCUCUUUCAGUGUUGCUUACCGGGUGAUUUGAUAGCGGUGUUUGAUAGAUCCAAAGUAAGAAGAACUUCGCGAGCUGGAAGGAUUGCUUACCGCAAAAGUCGUCGAUGCCCGGCUCUUCAGCAAGCUGCCACCUUCGAUGACGCAAAGAUCGAUGAUAUCAUCGGCGUCGUACUUGACAUGCCUCCUUCAACUCCCUCACCCUGGUGUCCAUUGCUGGAUCUACAUGCCUCCUUUGCUCUGCAGUGCGAAGAAAGCCUUUGAUCCUCGUCAACCUUCUCUCGAGCAUUUCGACCUCCGCCCUCACGCAUAGCACUUUGCAUAUCUCUCCCUCCGCAAAGUUGGCUAUCUUUUGGAGGAACCUUUCUACGAAAAACUCUAACACCAUUGCCAUCUCGUAACACGGCUCAAGAAGAUCCAAGUGAGUGUCUACAAAUUGAAGGUCUGUUUCCUCUGAUACGAUCUACGUCGAGCAUAAAUAUGUUCCGGAAUCAAGGCCCGAUUUCCGAUAAGGGAGGAGUCUUCGACAGCAUGCAUGUGCCCAUUGGUCCAAUUGCCAGCUUCUUCAACACUCUACAUGUCAUGAAAUAAAUAAUCUGCCUUAUUUUCUUAUGAUUUGUCGGUCUUUGUUUAUUAUGUGAUGAAAUAAAUAGUCUGCAUGUGACUCGUGUGGCAACAUUAUAUUAUAUAUAUAGAAACUCAAAUUAAAAACUCAAAAUUCUUGGAAGAUGGUGAAACAAUGACACUUUUAAAACUCAAAAGUCAAAAAAUAGAUACAACUAAGAAACAUGCUCAGAAGAACUUGAGACAAACAUUGUAGAGUGCAAAGAGAAACAAAUAAUUGGUAAACAAUGAUAGCACAUGAUUUUAUUCAACGAUACAAAACAGGUACAAACAAUAUUCUUAUUCAAGUCUAGAUUUGAGGAAAAAUACAUUUAACAUUUAAAAGAAUAGAGAAUGGAGCAACUUUUGAAACAAACAAGUGACGAACGAAUGUUUCAAAUAAUAGAUAAUCAAUCUAAUGAACAUGCAAUUGCAAGUUCAAUGGAAGUAAUGAGGAUAGUGUUGUUACAGCUUUCACCAGCUGGGGCAAAAAUUAUCCCCAGGAGAGACGACUAUUUCCAAGGUAUAAUAUGCUUUUAGCUAAAGUGAAUCUAUUAGGACUCGAAUUGACAACCUAAUCACUCGUGAACAGAGAGUAAUUAGACUGGCGAUGACAACAUUAUGAUCACAAGCGAGGCCAAGGAAUUCACUGGUUCAUCUAAUAAGAAUAUUAAUGCUUACUACCUACCAGUGCCAGAUCUUAUCCUGUUCUUCCUAUCGAUUCCAAUGGCAGGCAUGGAAAGCUAUCAUCUAAAUGCUAUUUCUUUAUGACUUGGUCGUCUGGAUUCCAUAUCACAGCUCCCUUCACCCUGUAUAUGUGAUGAAAUGAAUAGUCUGCAUGCUGCAUGUGGUGGUUUGUCGCAACAUGUGUUUGGAAACUCAUCACCAUUUCUCACUACAGCUCAAGAAUGACUAAUUGAUGGUUUCUAGGAUGAUGCAGUUUGUGUUAUCCUUGAUUUGUUGUGACUUGCUCAUCAUUGAUGAAUUGCCAGCCCCUACGCUACCAAAAAAAAGUCGGAGAUGUUGAUGCCCAACUCCCACCGACACCAGCUUUGAAUUCCCAGACCAGGCACCUUCUUCCCGUCCACUUGUGUCGAUUCCGAGCUCAUCAAGCUGAUGUCAAAUGUGAUGCCCUCUAACUUGGGUGUUGGAGGGGGGUUAGGUCGACCCUCGGCAUUCUUCUUUCUUUAUCUUGUUGGCUAAUCUUUGCUUGCUGUAUUCAUUUACAAUUACAUGUUAGUUUUUGGGCAAAACUGGCAUUAGCCUCUAUGGAAUGCCAUAUAAAUAUGUUACAAUAAAAAAAUUAGCAAUCACGUACGAGUUACUACCAUUUUUUGCAUUAUGUUUCAUCCUACUCAACUCAAAAUUUUAUCCGAUACAAAUGCUGAUUACAAGUAAAUCGACAUUCAUCUUCUGUUAUUGUUUAAUCUUGAUGGACACUACACUCGUCUGACUUCAGAGAUAUUAAAUUUUAUAGAAUUACAUCAGAGUCAUUCCAACAAAUAUUUUUUUAAUGCUUAAAUUAGUUUAGGUUUAGAAGAUUCUAUUAAUAUUUUGAAUAAUAUUAGAAAAAAUAUUCAGAAUGUACUUGAGAGAGCUCUUUUAUAACGACUUCUUAUGGUUAUUACUUUUAUAAUUGACACCGAUUACGAAGAUGAUUGUACGUUUAUCCCAAGCUUAAUCACAAUUAUGUUAUAUUGAUAUUAAAAUGACAAUCACGUGGCACUAAGGUAUUGGUCAGGCACUGAGGUGUCAAUCAUGUCGCACUAAGGUGUUGGCCCUGUGGUGUCAACCACUUGAUGCUAAGAUAUUGUUCUAUAUGUUUUUGAUGUGUCAACCAUAUGACACAGUAAAAAAGACUUGGAAUGUGUCAACCAAUCCCAAAAGAAGACAACACCUUGACUACUUAAAUUAUACAUUUACAUGAUAAUCGAGUUUGUUCGAGCUCAUACUUUCAGUCAUGCCUGAAAUUUUCUUUCUUUUGGAAACAGUUUACUAUUCAAUUUCAUGCACUUGAUAAAUUUGUUCUCUCUCUUGUCUCGUUCUCUAUAUGAGUGGCAUAGGAAAUGCUUUUAAGAUCUGCAGAUUAAAGACUUGGAUGCUUGUUAUAGUAAACAAGAAGUUACACUUCGGACAACUUGGAACGUGAAGGUUCUAAUUUCUGUGAUACUGGUUAGAUACAGUCAAUUCAUUUUGUUCUGGUUGAGACUCCAUGCUAUGAUGAUGGGUUAUCCAGUUCUCCUUUUGCUAGUUUGACUGCAUAUGUUUUUGAUAAAUGGAUUGAUAGGAUAGUCUUUGCAUUGUUUUCCAUGUUGUCUCUGUAAAUUCAAUCGACUCCCUUCAGCAAAGUCUGUAGUCGAUAUUUUCUCUAUUUAGUAUCGCACUUUCUAGUAUUUCUUGUGUCCUCUGAGAGGCUUGCUGUCAACAACCCUAAUAAAUGCAGUUGUCAAGCUUGAUGUAUUAUUAUUAGUUACUUAUGGUUUAACCUCUUGGCCAUCUAAAUAAUCAUGUUCCUGGACAUGGCAAAGGCUCGAGGAAAGGUUAAUUAAUUACAUGACGACUCUCAACUUGCUUUAUAAGUUUGUAUGGCAUCAAUUAAAUUCAGGUCUCCUUGGAAAUUUAAUGAUCGUGAAAGCAGUUCAUGAGAUGAUGCAGUGAGUUUUUACGGCAUACCAAAUGGUUGCAGGGGGCAAUAGCAAGUUGCAAGUAAAGAAGUAUUCCGGCUUGAAAGUGUUGCAUGAACACGAAACCAAGACUUACUGCAGUAUGAUGAUAUUUGGUGAAUAGUUUGGAAGGUAGUGAUAUUUGUAUCUUACUGUUGAACCAAACUUAUGAACUUUUACUAUGUUAGAUGGUCUAUAUGACCAAGUGGGGUCAUGGAGUAGCAGUAGAAGGAUUGAAUGAAGCAGGGUCAUCAAGCAUGUGAGUAUUGAACCUAAAUACAACAAUAAGCCAAAUAUUUGGUGUCAGCUACAUAAAUCACUUGAGAUUCAUAUGAGAACAAUAUCAUCAUAUGCCCUUUAUUCCUCUUAAGAUUGAGAAGAAAAAACUACUUCCCCUUUUAUCGCGCUGUUUCUAAAAUAAGCUACAAUUUUCUUCCUAGUUGAUCUUACGGAGUAUCAGAAAAUUAUAAAAUAUAGACUUCACAGGACUCAUGUAGCGCUUGAGAGUCUAAUCUGUGCCAUAUCUGUUUCUUCCAUUACAAAUCAUUGUGUUUGUGAUACAUCUGACAGGAAGAUGUGUGAAUUGACUGUAUGCAUGAACUUCAUUUGUUGUCAGAAUUUCUUGGUUUUUAUAACAAUGUUCUCUUUGGUUGCUCUACUAGAAAGUAGAAAGUGCUAUAUUUAUUUCUGAAAAAGAGAUCUUCCGACUGGAUUUUGGUUUCUUGGAAAAUUUCCACCAAGGAAUGAUUAUUGGAGUCUUUUGUGCUUUUUGCAUAACAUGGUGGAUUUUUGGCUAUUAAUAAUUGUUCUUCAUGUUUGCCGUGCGAUUUUCGUCUUCAUCAAGGUGACUCGUGUCAAUUUAAGUCAUGAUAAAUAUGCUUGAUUUCUUUCGGAAAAAGAAAUCCUCACUAGUGUUUCUUCCUAUGAUUCUACAUUAAAUGGACGGCAAUUAUGUAACCAUUUUAGCCAAUAUGAAUUUCCGAGUUAGUGGAAUUAUGUCUAUGAUCUGAACAGAAUUUUCUAUCUUCAUAUUUAUAAUCAUUUAUAUGCUCAUGUUGAUCACACCUGCUAGUUCAUAUCUAAUUUGACAUUGAUUGUGUGCUAUGUUUAGGUACUCCCUUUCAGCUUCUGUGACAUAUAUGAUUCUGCCACCAAUUAGCUUUGUUAAAGCACGCAUAGCUUCGGUGAGGUCAAAGUGAAAUUAAACUAUUAGCUGCACUCGUUUACAGUUACGUGGAGGUUCUUCGAGCAAGACUAGCAUAAAGCCUCUUUGGACUGUCAAAUAAUUGUGUUAUGAUCAGACAUUGGCAAUCACCCAUGAGUUGUACCAAUUUUCACACUGUGCUUGAUACUAUUUCUGGAGUGAAGAAAUUAAAUUAUGUUCCUGGAACAGUGAGUGAUAUGACUGGAAUAUUUUCUUUUGUAAACUCCAUCGCUUACGGCUUGGUUUAUUUAGUGUCCAAAUGUAUUUUUGGCAGAGCAAUGCUGAGAAUCAUUAUGUUCUUUUGUUCUGCAUUUUCUUUUUCUCUUCCAUCCUUGUUUUGUGUUUGUGAAAGUUACUGAGCUUCAUGAAGUGUAGAGACUUUUCAAGAAAUGAAUGAAGAUAUCGCUUACAAGUUUUACUGGAGAUGUUUCUUGGCAUCGGCCAUGUUGGAUUGCCAGUUCUCUGAUGUAGCCUUUGUUUCGACUCUGUUUUGGGUUUUGCCAUUGCAAUUGAAGACAAGUGGAGGACACAGUUGCGAUGAAGAUUUUGUUGGCCAAGUCUUUAUUUGUCAAUAUCUGCAGUAGAUAACAUGCUUUUGGAUACAAGACCUUCGAUCAAAUUAUAGUCAUAAAGCAAUGCACGAUGUAAGCAACAGCAUUUGCAAAUCUAGACAUCAAGCAACAGCAUGCUUAUGGAAGCAAGAUCAAGAUGAAAGCUUCGCUUAGUAUAAAGCAACACAAAGAGAUGUGUUCGUAGACAAUAGUCUUUCUUUGUUCUUACACUGAAAGCAAAUAUAAAUUAUGGUCCAAACAUACAUUCAAAUCGAAGGAAAAAAAGGAUAAAAAAAAACACAACGCUUUCAAACUGCCAAAUUGCUUCAAUCGCAAAUAGUAAGGGAAGUGAAUGCCAAGCACAAAAGACUUCGAUCGAUCCUGCAAAAAACAAGUUCAUACAUAUAUAUAUGAAUGAAACAAACAUAAGCAUGGCGUACUAACAGAUGAUGACUUCCGAGUAAACCUGGAAGAUGGAAGAAGUUGGCGUACGUGUGAACCAAAAAAGCACUCGAGUAAACUGGAAUGAGAAGAAGAACACGACUUACAGAGACGCCAACUCUGCUCAUGCUGAACCUACGUUGGUGUCGUACAUGUAUGGAUCCUUGUUAUACCAAAUGAACUCGUUGGCAUCGAUGGCCCGAAUCCUGACCUCCGUUAUCUGGCGGAUGAUCUGCCAGUUGACCUCGCCCAUGAGACACCUCUUCAACAAUGGCAAGCUGCACUGCAGCUCAAGCUUUCUGAAACUGCGCUGCUGCUCCACGAGAUCCGACAGCCAUGGCGGCAGAGACUGCGCUGGUGGUGGACAAGACAGAUGCAGGUGUUGCAAGCCAGCCAGAUCUCCCACGUACUCCAAGUUGGGGCAGUCAUCCACUUGCAGAUACUUCAAUGAAGGAAGGUUUGAUAUACGCCGCAAGCUGUUGUUACGCUUCACAGUGAGGUUGUCAGUCAGGAAGUCGAGGUUCUUGAUUUCUACAAAGCUGUGAGUGCCCUCCAUAUGGAGUAACUUCAAGUUGGUCGUGCAAAGGCCUUCCGGAAGGGCUCCCAGCUUGGGACAGUCGACGAGCCAGAGCUCCUUCAGUUUAGGGAGCAGCUUACGAAGGCUGCUGCGUCUGCUGUCGUCAGCGGGGGACUCGCUUGUCGGAAGCCUGACAGGAUUUUGAUGACGUGACGGGUCGGAGUUGGAAGCUUGAGAGUCUUGACUUCCGACCAGAUCUAGCUCAGAUCGUGGCUGCCUAGGACCUGGACGUGAGUUUGGUUUUGCUUGGCCGACUGACCCUGGACAGUAUGCACAAAGGUAUGCAGUCUGUGAAAAAUAUGAAGGCGUGCUUUCCUCUGGCACUGAUGUCAACCAUUUUGUCCAGUUGGGCAUGUUGAAGAAUUGCAUUACCUCAAGCUUGGGAAAUGCCCGAAAUCCCUGUAAACUCCGGCGAUCGCCGAGGAAUUCAGCACCAAUGGUUCUGAUUGCAUUUGCCCCGUUAAUGGAUAGUAACUUUAGCUCUGGAAGCAGGCCCAGUGGAGGAAGCUCGCAGCACGAUGGAAGAUCAUGAAUGCUCAAGUAUGACAGCCGGGGGAAAGCAGUGUCGAGGGAAGACAACAUCAUCCAUCUCGGAAACCAAUUACCGGGAAAGAAUUUGAUAGAAAGAUACAGCAGGCUCGGUGGGGGACAGAGUCCAUGGCAUAUCUUCCGAGCUCUUUGGGUUUGUUCCACGGUACAUUGCGCUCGAUCUUGACUCAUGCAGAAUAGAUGCAAUUGCCUGAGAAAAGAUUUANNNNNNNNNNNNNNNNNNNNAAGAUGUGAUAGUUCUCCGAUGGACUCGGGAAGACUCUCGAUGGAUGUGUCGUUCAGAAGCAGGACUCUCAGCUUCCUUAGCUUUUUAAACAGAUCAUCUCCAAUUGUACGGGCACGAGGGCUAUCAAAGAUGAGCAAAGAUCUUAAACACUUCUCUUCAACGAUUCUGUCGGGGAGCUGUAUCCUCUCCCCUAUGUUUGAUGUUGACAAUCGACGAAGCUUAGUUAAUGGGUCCGAAUUCAAUGAUUGGAGAUCACUGACAUAGACACCCUCUCCUUGGAUCAAGGACUGAGCAAGCGAUCUCAAAAGAUCAUGCAUGGUGCAUCUGCUGCCGUCUACAAAGGUAGGAUCCACCUGCAGUAGGUUUCGCCAGAUCAAGUCCUCGUAAUAACCCUCGGCAAUCUCUUCCAUCGAUAGUUCUCCGUUCUCCUCUGUGA